rnacentral:rRNA from 1 species
AUGGCCGUCGACACCACCACCGCCGCGCCUUCCCACCCUGAAGGCGACGAAGGCGGUGAAGAGGCAGUGCGGCCGCUCCUCUCCGGCGCGCCCGCUGAGGUGGAGGAUGAGGAACUGGACAUCAGGUACGCGCCCUAUGCGCGCCGUGAUGCGUACGGGCCGAUGGGCCGCGGGCCGCUCUCUGCGGCGCAGGUGGCACGGUUAGUGCUGGCGGGCGUCGUUCUCCUCCCGCUCCGUCUCGUCGCAGGGGUGCUCCUGGUCGUCGCCUACUACCUCGUGUGCCGUGUGUGUACGCUGUUUGUGGGCGGAGUGGGAGAGGGCCGUCCCCGCCUACAGGGGUUGAGGAGGGAGGCCGUGCUGCGUGCUGGCCGCGUGUUGUCGCGGGCAAUGCUGUUCGUGUUCGGGUUCUACUGGAUCCCCGUGUCCGAUCGAAGCUUCCCCAAUGCCGAGGAUGUACCUAAAGAUCACUAUGAAGAACUGGAAAGACCAGGGGCGAUUGUAUCUAAUCAUGUGUCAUAUGUGGACAUUCUUUAUCAUAUGUCAGCUUCUUCUCCGAGUUUUGUUGCUAAGAACUCAGUGUCCAAGUUGCCGUUGAUUGGUCUCAUAAGCAAAUGUCUUGGGUGCAUUUUUGUUCAACGAGAAUCCAAAUGUUCAGAUUCUAAAGGUGUCUCAGGUGCUGUAACUGAAAGGCUCCAUGAGGUUUCACAAGACGAGAAUUCCCCUAUGAUCUUACUCUUUCCUGGUACAAAUCUGAGGAUACAUGAAUUGGGGGGAAAAGAAGGAAGAAGAACAGCAGCCGCCGCCGCCGAGGGUACUACUACGAAUGGGGAUUACCUUCUCCCAUUUAAGACAGGAGCCUUUCUUGCAAGGGCACCAUUGCAACCUGUAAUUUUGAGAUAUCCUUACAGGAGAUUUAGUCCAGCCUGGGACUCCAUGGAUGGGGCACGUCAUGUGUUUUUGCUCCUCUGUCAAUUUGCAAAUUACAUAGAGGUGGUUCGCUUGCCUGUAUACUAUCCUUCUGAGCAAGAAAAGCAGGAUCCUAGAGUCUAUGCCAACAACGUCAGAAAAUUGCUUGCGACUGAGGGUAAUUUAGUUCUGUCUAAUCUUGGGCUGGCUGAAAAGCGUGUGUAUCAUGCGGCACUUAAUGGUAAUAGUCCUCGUGCUCUGCAUCAGAAAGAUGAUUGA